rnacentral:lncRNA from 1 species
ACUAAUUACAUAUAAAAAAUCAAUCUACUCAUAUUUUAAGAACAUAUAGUAUUAUACAAGCUAAGACAUCGUAUGCAUAUAUUCAUAUUUGGACCAAUACAACAAUAGCAAGCUCCAUCUGUUCCUUUACAAUGUGAUGAUGGAAGUGGUACACAGACACCUCUUAGCUUGGCAUCGUGNUGGAAGAGGUACACAGACACCUCUUAGCUUGGCAUCGUGAUGAGGAUUACCAUACUCCAUAGUAGACAGUUGUGGGCUUGCACCUCCCAAAAUAGUGUUUAUUAAGGUAGUUUUAAAAGCUUUAUCAUUAAUGUUGUUCCCAU